UUCCGAAUCUUAAUAUUAAUCUGAAUCCUGUUCUUUCAAACAUUUCUGUCCAUGGUGAGUGAGGCUUUCUACACAGCAGCAUUACACCUAAACUGAACUGUACAGAUGCAAAAACCUGUAUUAUUUCCCAAAUAAUCACAUUGAACUUGAUAUUUCUGUGGUAAAUAAACAAUCUGAAUGCUUCUCAGGUGAGGUCCGGCUCACCACUGUUACAUGGACGACUUUGGAACCAGAGACAAAGAAGAGACUUCCUGGCCAAGUGUGUACUGCGUUGUUGGAAUCAUGGGGGUUGUCGUCAUCGUGCUAUCUGCAUGGGUUGCUUCAAAAUGUGUGUGUAAAGGAGAAGCCAGGGACACACCGGAUCUGAGCCGCCAGCCCUCCCAUGAUGCACUGACUACCAUCACUAUCUAUGAAAAUGUUAAGUAGUCCCCAUGUCCGUGCCUUGAUGUCAAUCUGCUCAGUUACAUAACAAAACAUGUCAUAGUAUUCAGUUUAAGAUUUGGUAACCUGCAACUUGUAUUUGACUUAUUCAAUUCUUUAUCAAUUUGUGUUUGUCACCGCUCGGCUUUGUUGUUACUUUCUUGUAUUUUCACGUCUGCUUUGUGAAUUAUUAAUUUGGUUUUAAUGGCCUUCAAAUAAAACGAAUGCUCUUUUAGGGUACAUUCUCUCAUAGAAAUGUGUUUAAUAGGUUGUGAAUAACGUUGAAAAUUGAUGUUGUGCUUUUGUAUUCCUGUAAAUCAAGCUGUGAUCACACAGAAGUGAAAUUUCUCACAUGAGAAACCGCUAUUGUUGAGAUAUACCAAUGUGUGUGUGCAGAAUGGAACACAUUCAAGGGUAAAUAGUUUUGUUUCCUGUACAGGCAACACUCUUGUGUUCACACGUCCUGUGCAGAUACACUUUUUAAAUGUGAUUGUGUACUCGUGUGUGUGUGUGUGUGUGUGUGUG